rnacentral:misc_RNA from 1 species
CCCGCUUAAAAAAACAAUUACAGAAAAUGCAUGCAAUUACUGAGCAUAGGGGGAGUGAAUUUUAGACUCAUCUUCACAUUCCAAUAAAGCUUCAACUACUGAAUCCAUGGUUGGUCUCUGAUCUCUGUCUUCUUCCACGCAACAUAUCGCAACUUCUACUAUUUUCAUUACCUGUCUUCUGCUAUAUUCCCCAUUUAACCUUUGAUCCACUAUUUCCUCUAUCCAUGACUC